GGUUGUAGUUCAGUGGUAGAGCUCUUGCCUAGCAUUCGUGAGGCACUGAGUUCAAUCCUCAGCACCA
rnacentral:tRNA from 1 species